rnacentral:rRNA from 1 species
GUACCGCGGCUGCUGGCACGUAGUUAGCCGUGGCUUGUUCUUCAGGUACCGUCAUUUUUUUCUUCCCUGAUCAAAGAAGUUUACAACCCGAAGGCCUUCUUCCUUCACGCGGCGUUGCUGGGUCAGGCUUUCGCCCAUUGCCCAAUAUUCCCCACUGCUGCCUCCCGUAGGAGUCUGGACCGUUUCUCAGUUCCAAUGUGGCCGUUCGACCUCUCAGUCCGGCUACCGAUCGUAGUCUUGGUGGGCCAUUACCCCACCAACUAACUAAUCGGGCGCGAGGCCAUCCUUCACCGGAUUUCUCCUUUGACCGUUCUGUGAUGCCACAGUUCGGUGUUAUGCGGUAUUAGCACCGUUUUCACGGUGUUGUUCCCCUGUGAAGGGUAGGUUCCUCACGUGUUACUCACCCGUCCGCCGCUAAGAAAAUCUUUUCCGUACGAAUACUUCAAAAAUCUCUCCGCUCGACUUGCAUGUGUUAGGCACGCCGCCAGCGUUCAUCCUGAGCCAGGAUCAAACUC